rnacentral:lncRNA from 1 species
AGCUUAACAAAAUUCUUCCCCUAUUAUGUAUAUGCAGUUUUAAAAAAAGGAUAGACAGUCUAACAACUUAUAUAGUUAUGUCUAUACUACUAUAUACAUAACAUAGAUAUAUAUAUGAUCUUAUAUACAUAAAAAAAAGUUAUGUUCAUAGUCUCAUAUACAUAACCUGUAUUAUGUAUAUGUGCUAAAACUACCAAAAAUGAUUAAUGUACAUAAAAAUGUUAUGUAUAUAUUUAACAUAUACAUAAUCCGCAAUUCUAUACACAACACAGAACCUUAGAGAGACGGGGUCAUGAUGUAUUUCUUCUUUUUUUUUUCUCUUCCAUGAAGAUUGACCAACUUGCUUUUUUGAAUUACUAGUAGCAAUAACAACUUCUUCAUCAUGACGGGGACAUUGCGGUUUUUGAAGUAACAAUAAAUUUCAUAAUGUAUCUGGUGUUUUUCUUCUUCUUCUUCUUCUUCUUCUUCUUCUUNNN